rnacentral:rRNA from 1 species
GACAGAGGGGGCAAGCGUUGCUCGGAAUCACUGGGCGUAAAGGGCGCGUAGGCGGGAUGGCAAGUCAGUCGUGAAAUCUCUCGGCUCAACCGAGAAACGUCGGCUGAUAUUGCCGUUCUUGAGGGAUGCAGAGGAGACUGGAAUUCCCGGUGUAGCGGUGAAAUGUGUAGAGAUCGGGAGGAACACCGGUGGCGAAGGCGGGUCUCUGGGCAUCUCCUGACGCUGAGGCGCGAAAGCGUGGGGAGCAAACGGG